GGGCCAUAGUUCAGUGGUAGAGCAUCUACUUUACAUGCAGAAAGUCCUAGGUUCAAUCCCCAGCAUCUCUG